UACGAAGGGUGCAAGCGUUAAUCGGAAUUACUGGGAGUAAAGCGUGCGUAGGCGGUCUUUUAAGUCUGCUGUGAAAUCCCCGGGCUCAACCUGGGAAUGGCAGUGGAUACUGGGAGGCUAGAGUGUGUCAGAGGAUGGUGGAAUUCCCGGUGUAGCAGUGAAAUGCGUAGAGAUCGGGAGGAACACCAGUGGCGAAGGCGGCUACCUGGACCAGCACUGACACUGAAGCACGAAAGCGUGGGGAGCAAACAGG
rnacentral:rRNA from 1 species